rnacentral:misc_RNA from 1 species
AAAUGCGAUAAUUAAUGUGAAUUGCAGAAUUCAGUGAAUCAUCGAGUCUUUGAACGCACAUUGCGCCCCCUGGUAUUCCGGGGGGCAUGCCUGUCCGAGCGUCAUUGCUGCCCUCAAGCACGGCUUGUGUGUUGGGCUUCCGUCCCUGGCAACGGGGACGGGCCCAAAAGGCAGUGGCGGCACCAUGUCUGGUCCUCGAGCGUACGGGGCUUUGUCACCCGCUCCCGUAGGUCCAGCUGGCAGCUAGCCUCGCAACCAAUCUUUUUAACCAGGUUGACCUCGGAUCAGGUAGGGAUACCCGCUGAACUUAAGC